rnacentral:rRNA from 1 species
UUACGGCUCAGUAACACGUGGCCAAGCUACCCUGUGGACGGGAAUACUCUCGGGAAACUGAGACUAAUCCCCGAUAACGCUUUGCUCCUGGAAGGGGCAAAGCCGGAAACGCUCCGGCGCCACAGGAUGCGGCUGCGGUCGAUUAGGUAGACGGUGGGGUAACGGCCCACCGUGCCCAUAAUCGGUACGGGUUGUGAGAGCAAGAGCCCGGAGACGGAAUCUGAGACAAGAUUCCGGGCCCUACGGGGCGCAGCAGGCGCGAAACCUUUACACUGUACGAAAGUGCGAUAAGGGGACUCCGAGUGUGAAGGCAUAGAGCCUUCACUUUUGUACACCGUAAGGCGGUGCACGAAUAAGGACUGCAGGCAAGACCGGUGCCAGCCGCCGCGGUAAUACCGGCAGUCCGAGUGAUGGGCGAUCUUAUUGGGCCUAAAGCGUCCGUAGCUGGGUGAACAAGUCCGUUGAGA